GACGAACGCUGGCGGCGUGCUUAACACAUGCAAGUCGAACGGAAAGGCCCUGCUUUUGUGGGGUGCUCGAGUGGCGAACGGGUGAGUAACACGUGAGUAACCUGCCCUUUACUUUGGGAUAACUUCAGGAAACUGGGGCUAAUACCGGAUAGGAGCUCCUGCUGCAUGGUGGGGGGUGGAAAGGUUCGGCGGUUGGGGAUGGACUCGCGGCUUAUCAGCUUGUUUGUGGGGUAGUGGCUUACCAAGGCUUUGACGGGUAGCCGGCCUGAGAGGGUGACCGGCCACCUUGGGACUAAGAUACGGACCAGACUCCUACGGGAGGCAGCAGUGGGAAAUAUUGCACAAUGGGCGGAAGCCUGAUGCAGCAACGCCGCGUGCGGGAUGACGGCCUUCGGGUUGUAAACCGCUUUCGCCUGUGACGAAGCGUGAGUGACGGUAAUGGGUAAAGAAGCACCGGCUAACUACGUG
rnacentral:rRNA from 1 species